UAACGCGUGGGUAACCUGCCUCACACAGGGGGAUAACAGUUGGAGACGGCUGCUAAUACCGCAUAAGCGCACAGUACCGCAUGGUACAGUGUGAAAAACUCCGGUGGUGUGAGAUGGACCCGCGUCUGAUUAGCUAGUUGGCAGGGCAACGGCCUACCAAGGCGACGAUCAGUAGCCGACCUGAGAGGGUGACCGGCCACAUUGGGACUGAGACACGGCCCAA
rnacentral:rRNA from 1 species